rnacentral:rRNA from 1 species
UAAUACGUAGGGGGCAAGCGUUGUCCGGAAUCAUUGGGCGUAAAGAGCGCGUAGGCGGUCCGAUAAGUCAGCUGUGAAAGUCGGGGGCUCAACCCUCGAAAGCCGGUUGAUACUGUCGGGCUAGAGUCCGGAAGAGGCAAGUGGAACUCCUGGUGUAGCGGUGAAAUGCGCAGAUAUCAGGAAGAACACCGAUGGCGAAGGCAGCUUGCUGGGACGGUACUGACGCUGAGGCGCGAAAGCGUGGGGAGCAAACAGGAUUAGAUACCCUGGUAGUCCACGCCGUAAACGAUGGGCACUAGGUGUGAGGGGUGUCGACUCCCCUCGUGCCGCAGCUAACGCAUUAAGUGCCCCGCCUGGGGAGUACGGCCGCAAGGCUA